UAUCCCCAUUCUUUUUUCCCAGUAUGGUUUGCUCCUGAGUUUCAGUAGAGAGUCGCGAGCCUGCAACAUCAAUAGCCAGCUCAAUGAAGAUGGCGGAUCUGUGAAGGAUGCUGUCAACAAGACUUCAAACUUUCACAUUUUCCGAUCUUUGACUGACUGUGUUUGGAUAGCUGUCUGUGAGAAACACCACCCACUCCCUGACAACACGAGUUAGAGCGGGCCGGACGCGCGGCGGAGCAAGAGAGGGCGGCGGAGGAGCAAGCUUGUUGACAGACAGACGGACGGACGGACCAACCGACCACCAGUCAGACACGCCCACGGGGGGACUGACAGACAGACAGACGGGCUAACGCUGAACUUAAGGAGACGAAACACUGAGAGCAGCAUCUUCAGAGGGCGGUUCGGUCUUCGAGCGCCUAGUGGUUUCAUUUUUUUCCAGCGUUUCCAUGGAAAAGCCCCUGAGAUGAGAUGAAAUGAAAGCAUGAUUGUCUCACGGGGAGGGGAAGAGAGCGAGAGAGAUGGUGGUCUGUCCGUAAAUGGGCUUACCACACCAAUGCUUUCCUUCCGGAAACAUCAUCUUUCUUAUUAACACAGUCCUCUGAGACGGCCUGUGCAGCCAUUUCACUAUUAGUCUUGCUGCUACCUGGCAGGGCGCUCGUUUGCACAGAGGAACUCGACUGGCAAUCUGUCCAAAAUAACUCUCCAGGACUUUGGAUGGAUUUCAGAUGAGGCAGGCAGGAUUGUUUGUCACUGAAAU